rnacentral:lncRNA from 1 species
GCCUAUCAUUUUCUUUCAAGGCAAUUGAUAAUUGUUGAGUGGUAGGUCUUUUACCGGAUUAUGCUUGGGGAGAACGUGUUAGGUAUGAGCAGACAGGAUUAAAAUCAUGAGUAGUUCUGAUUUUCACUUUUAAAUCAGAUAAGACUAGGUCUGGAUUCUUACUUGGGUUUGGGAUUGGAAUGAUUGUGGAAAGAAAGAAGAGAAACAGAAAAAGUUGUGUCCUUAGGAGUAGAAUGCUUU